rnacentral:misc_RNA from 1 species
GCUAUAUGGAUCCAUUAGAAAUAAAAGUUUACACAUGAUACUAUAAUCAUUCACAAACCCUGAGGCACUAUCAAUUAAAUUUAAACAAGAUUACUUGAAAUAUACUUUUUAGAGUACACAAGCCAUUUUCUAAUUCAGAUCACUGUGUGUUUAUCAUAAAAUGUACAUGUUCCUCGGGCACACUUGAAAUGGAAAAUUAACUGUUUUAUAUAUGUGAACCAUCAACAAGUUCUGUAAGUCAGUCCAGUUUUAUUUCAACAAAACAGUGAAAUGUAUGUUCCAAGAAUGUAAAGCAAAACAGCUCGAUUCCUGAUUUGACAGCAGCAAAAUGAUAAAAAAAUUCCAAUCCAAAAAGAUCACAUGUACAUAUGAUAUUAAAAAAAAAAAUGAAACUACAUGCACAUCAAUUGUUUACAUGUACAAAUUUUAGCAAUAUUACCAGAAAAAUUCAGGCAGCUUUACAUGAUAAAUGCAACUAUAAGAAAAAAAAUAUUACCAAUCACUCAUUCAGUCAUAACUAUAACACAACCAACCAUAAAACUGAAAUAAGAUUAGCAUUGCCUAUAACCUGAUUUAUAAUCAU